GAUGAACGCUGGCGGCGUGCCUAAUACAUGCAAGUCGAGCGAACAGACGAGGAGCUUGCUCCUCUGACGUUAGCGGCGGACGGGUGAGUAACACGUGGAUAACCUACCUAUAAGACUGGGAUAACUUCGGGAAACCGGAGCUAAUACCGGAUAAUAUAUUGAACCGCAUGGUUCAAUAGUGAAAGACGGUUUUGCUGUCACUUAUAGAUGGAUCCGCGCCGCAUUAGCUAGUUGGUAAGGUAACGGCUUACCAAGGCAACGAUGCGUAGCCGACCUGAGAGGGUGAUCGGCCACACUGGAACUGAGACACGGUCCAGACUCCUACGGGAGGCAGCAGUAGGGAAUCUUCCGCAAUGGGCGGAAGCCUGACGGAGCAACGCCGCGUGAGUGAUGAAGGUCUUCGGAUCGUAAAACUCUGUUAUUAGGGAAGAACAAAUGUGUAAGUAACUAUGCACGUCUUGACGGUACCUAAUCAGAGAGCCACGGCUAACUACGUG
rnacentral:rRNA from 1 species